AGAGUUUGAUCAUGGCUCAGAUUGAACGCUGGCGGCAGGCCUAACACAUGCAAGUCGAGCGGCAGCGAGGGGCCUCCUUCGGGAGGCCCCGUCGGCAAGCGGCGAACGGGUGAGUGAACAUUGGGAAUCUGCCCAAGGGCGGGGGAUAGCCACUGGAAACGGUGGGUAAUACCGCAUAACGUCGUUUCACCGCGACCAAAGGGGGCCUUCAUCGGCUCUCGCCCUCGGAUGAGCCCAAUGAAGAUUAGCUUGUAGGUGAGGUAAUGGCUCACCUAGGCUCCGAUCUUGAGCUGGUCUGAGAGGAUGUCCAGCCACACUGGGACUGAGAUACGGCCCAGACUCCUACGGGAGGCAGCAGUGGGGAAUAUUGCACAAUGGGCGAAAGCCUGAUGCAGCCAUGCCGCGUGUGUGAAGAAGGCCCUCGGGUUGUAAAGCACUUUUGUCAGUGAAGAUGCGUUAAAGCUCUAACACAGCCCUAGCGUGACGUUAACUGAAGAAUAAGCACCGGCUAACUCCGUGCCAGCAGCCGCGGUAAUACGGGGGGUGCAAGCGUUAAUCGGAAUGACUGGGCGUAAAGGGCGUGUAGGUGGCGCGUUGCGCAUCUCGUGAAAUCUCAGGGCUUAACCUUGACCUGCGAGGUGUACGGGCGCGCUAGAGUGGCUGAGAGGAAGGUGGAAUUUCAGGUGUAACGUUGAAAUGUUUAGAGAUCUGAAGGAACACCAGUGGCGAAGGCGGCCUUCUGGCAGCAGACUGACACUGAGACGCGAAGGCGCGGGUAGCAAACAGGAUUAGAUACCCUGGUAGUCCACGCAGUAGACGAUGUCGACUAGGAGUCCAAAGGGUCUUCCCUUCGGGUUCCGUAGCUAACGCGUUAAGUCGACCGCCUGGGGAGUACGGCCGCAAGGUUAAAACUCAAAUGAAUUGACGGGGGCCCGCACAAGCGGUGGAGCAUGUGGUUUAAUUCGAUGCAACGCGAAAAACCUUACCUACUCUUGACAUGCAGCUGAGUGCCCUUUAUCGGGCAGGCCCUUCGGGGAGGCUGCACAGGUGCUGCAUGGCUGUCGUCAGCUCGUGUUGUGAGAUGUUGGGUUAAGUCCCGCAACGAGCGCAACCCUUAUUCUUUGUUACCAGCGAGUGAUGUCGGGAACUCAAAGAAGACUGCCGGUGAUAAGCCGGAGGAAGGUGAGGACGACGUCAAGUCAUCAUGGCCCUUAUGAGUAGGGCUACACACGUGCUACAAUGGUGCGUACAGAGAGAAGCUAGCCUGCAAAGGUCCGCAAUCCCUUAAAGCGCAUCUUAGUCCGGAUUGAAGUCUGAAACUCGACUUCAUGAAGUCGGAAUCGCUAGUAAUCGCAGAUCAGCAUGCUGCGGUGAAUACGUUCCCGGGCCUUGUACACACUGCCCGUCACACCAUGGGAGUGUGAUAUACUGGAAGCAGGUGGCUUAACCUUAACCGGAGAGCGCCUUCUAAGGUAGAGCACAUGACUGGGGUGAAGUCGUAACAAGGUAACCGU
rnacentral:rRNA from 2 species